rnacentral:rRNA from 1 species
AACUUCAGGCUUGGUUGAUUGGUCCGCCUCACGGUGUGUACUGUUCGACCGAGCCUUACCUCUUGGUGAGCCAGCAUGCCGUUUAUUCGGUGUGUUGGGGAACCAGGAUUUUUACUCUGAAAAAAUUAGAGUGUUCAAAGCAGGCCUAUGCCCGAAUACAUUAGCAUGGAAUAAUAGAAUAGGACGUGCGGUUCUAUUUUGUUGGUUUCUAGGAUCGCCGUAAUGAUUAAUAGGGAUAGUUGGGGGCAUUCGUAUUUCAUUGUCAGAGGUGAAAUUCUUGGAUUUAUGAAAGACGAACUUCUGCGAAAGCAUUUGCCAAGGAUGUUUUCAUUAAUCAAGAACGAAAGUUGGGGGCUCGAAGACGAUCAGAUACCGUCCUAGUCUCAACCAUAAACGAUGCCGACUAGGGAUUGGCGGAUGUUAAUUUGAUGACUCCGCCAGCACCUUAUGAGAAAUCAAAGUUUUUGGGUUCCGGGGGGAGUAUGGUCGCAAGGCUGAAACUUAAAGG